CUCGCUCUGUUUACAACGCUAAAUCACAGAUUUUCACGUCUUGAUACAACGGCUGCAUUCCAAGCCACAACAAGUGCAACGGCUUCAAACUGUGUUUAGCGGAACUCUUCCCAACCAUAAAACCCAUGUCUUCAACUGCUAAAACUGUAUUAAAUUCCUACGAUUAAUAAUAUACGACGAACUAUCUUUACUACCAUUUAUUUGAAGGAGUUUGUUUUGGCCGUCGC
rnacentral:lncRNA from 1 species